UCCGUAAGGUGAACCUGCGGAAGGAUCAUUAGUGAAUAUAGGACGUCCAACUUAACUUGGAGUCCGAACUCUCACUUUCUAACCCUGUGCACUUGUUUGGGAUAGUAACUCUCGCAAGAGAGCGAACUCCUAUUCACUUAUAAACACAAAGUCUAUGAAUGUAUUAAAUUUUAUAACAAAAUAAAACUUUCAACAACGGAUCUCUUGGCUCUCGCAUCGAUGAAGAACGCAGCGAAAUGCGAUAAGUAAUGUGAAUUGCAGAAUUCAGUGAAUCAUCGAAUCUUUGAACGCACCUUGCGCUCCAUGGUAUUCCGUGGAGCAUGCCUGUUUGAGUGUCAUGAAUACUUCAACCCUCCUCUUUCUUAAUGAUUGAAGAGGUGUUUGGUUUCUGAGCGCUGCUGGCCUUUACGGUCUAGCUCGUUCGUAAUGCAUUAGCAUCCGCAAUCGAACUUCGGAUUGACUUGGCGUAAUAGACUAUUCGCUGAGGAAUUCUAGUCUUCGGACUAGAGCCGGGUUGGGUUAAAGGAAGCUUCUAAUCAGAAUGUCUACAUUUUAAGAUUAGAUCUCAAAUCAGGUAGGACUACCCGCUGAACUUAAGCAUAUCAAUAAGCGGAGGAAAA
rnacentral:rRNA from 1 species